CCUGCAAUCGCUCGCGGAAGUGGUCCAGCCUCCGCAGACCGCGCGGGGUCUCCCGGUGCCCGGCGGGGCUGACUGGCCGGAGCGGGCACUGCCGGGAGGCCCGCAGCCGGUCGCCAGAAUGGUGCAGUUAUACAACCUGCAUCCGUUUGGCUCGCAGCAGGUGGUGCCCUGCAAGCUACAGCCCGAGCGCUUCUGCGGCGGGGGACGCGAUACGCUAUUCGUGGCGGCUGGCUGCAAGGUGGAGGCGUUCACUGUGGUCGGCCAGGAGCUGUGCCAGCCGAGAUGCGUCUUCUCCACGCUGGGCAGGGUGCUGCGCCUGGCCUACAGUGAGGCCGGAGAUUAUUUGGUAGCAAUCGAAGAGAAGAACAAAGCUACAUUCCUGCGUGCUUAUGUGAACUGGAGAAGUAAAAGGACUGAAAACUCCCGAGUGUGUAUCCGGAUGGUCGGGCAUGACAUGGAGGCACCCUUCAGCGAAACCUUCAGAGAGCAGAUGUCUGUUGUGGAAAUGCCGCUUUCUGAGGCCCCCCUGUGCAUUUCCUGCUGCCCUGUGAAAGGAGACCUUCUUGUUGGCUGCACCAAUAAUUUAGUCUUAUUUAGUUUGAAGUAUCAGAUAAUUAAUGAAGAAUUCUCAAUUUUGGACUUUGAACGUUCUUUAAUUAUCCACAUAGAUAACAUCACCCCUGCUGAAAUUUCUUUUUGUGUUGGGUAUGUCGCUGUCAUGUCAGAGUUAGAAGUCUUAAUCGUAAAACUGGAGUCAGACCCCAAAAACAGAGAGAGUGUUAACCACCAUCCACGGAAGACCACCAAUCCCAUGAAACAGGCAGAAGGCAUCAGUAAUGAAACUUCACAGCUUGAGUCAGAUGAUUUUGUUAUCUGCCAAAAGCCCAUGGAACUUCUUGGUGAAAAAAGCAAACAGUCAGGAAUAUCUGUUACACUGGAGUCAACGGGAUUAGCUGAUGAAAAAAUAAAGUAUUUCCACGUUCGGCACCUGCUCUAUAGACGUUUCGCUCCUGAUAUUUCUUGCUGUCUCUUGUCUGAUGACGUCAGGUUGCAUUCACUUCAGCUUCUACCCAUUUACCAAACAGGGUCUCUUACUUCUGAUAGAAAAAAUUCGUCUCAGGAAAAAGUGUUGCUGAGUCUGUUUUGUUUUUUCUCAUUACCUCAUGUGGGCUACCUGUACAUGAUUGUCAAAUCUGUUGAAUUAAUGUCGGUUUACCAAUAUCCCGAGAAAUCUCAGCAGGCGGUGCUUACCCCACAGUUUCUGCAUGUCAUCACAAGUAACAACCUGCAGUGUUAUACAGUGCGGUGCAGUGCGGCGGCCGCGAGGGAGGAGGACCCGUAUGUGGACACCACCCUGAAGGCUUGCCCACCUAUCAGUAUGGAUGUCUGUGCUUUAAGAAUACAGCUUUUCAUAGGCUUGAAAGCCAUCUGUCACUUUAAAAACCACGUUGUACUUCUGACCAAGGCAGACCCUGAAACCGUUCCAGAGAGAAGAGAGUCACCCAAGAGGUUUCUUUCUAGAAAAGGUACCAGUGUUAAUCCCAAAACACCUCCUGUAGCUGAAGCUGGGUGGAAUUUGUAUAUUGUGAAUACGGUCUCACCAGUGCAACUGUACAAAGAAAUGGUAGACUACAGUAAUGCCUACAAGACUGCAAAAACCCAGAGCUGCAUCCACCUUCUCAGCGAGGCUCACUUGUUAGUGAGAGCGGCCCUGAUGGAUGCCAGUCAGCUGGAACCUGGAGAAAAGGCAGAGCUUUUAGAAGCAUUUAAAGAAAGCUGUGGGUACCUUGGCGACUGCUACAGCAGGCUUGAAACCCCGCAUUCCCACCUGGCCUUGCCAUACUAUAAGAUGUCUGGUUUGUCUAUGGCGGAAGUUUUGGACCGAGUAGACUGGGCAGUGGAGGAUGGAUCACAGAAAUACGAGCGGGGAUUAAUCUUCUACAUUAAUCAUUCACUUUAUGAAAACCUGGAUGAAGAAUUAAGUGAAGAAUUGUCAGCAAAAGUAGUUCAGAUGAUUUAUGCGGCUGAGCCGAAGCAACUGCCACAUAUUCUCUGUAGUCCUUCUAUGAAGAAUAUUGAUCCUUUAACUGCCAUAAAAUAUUUAAGGAAGCUGGAGACUUCUGGAUUUUCAUCAGUUUUAGUGACAUUGGCCAAGGCAGCAAUGGCUUUGAAAAUGGGAGAUCUUGACAUGCACAGGGAUGAAAUGAAAAGCCAUUCAGAGAUGAAGUUGGUAUGUGGCUUCAUUCUGGAACCUCGGCUGUUGAUUCAGCAGAGGAAAGGACAGAUUGUUCCAACUGAGUUUGCAGUUCACUUGAAGGAGACUCAGCCUGGAUUGCUUGUGGCUUCAGUCCUGGCCCUACAGAAGAACAACAAAAUUGGUAUUGAAGAAGCAGAUUCCUUCUUUAAGGUGCUUUGUGGUAAAGAUGGAGACACGAUCCCUCAGCUCUUAGUGGACUUUUGGGAAGCUCAGCUGGUAGCCUGUCUCCCAGAUGUGGUGCUUCAGGAACUUUUUUUCAAGCUCACAUCACAGUACAUCUGGAGAUUAUCGAAGAGGCAGCCUCCUGACACCACACCAUUGAGAACAUCAGAGGACCUGAUAAACACCUGUAGUCAUUAUGGCUUAAUAAAUCCAUGGGUUAAUGUCUUAAUCUCAUCCGAAUCUUUAGUCGACAAAAAUUAUAUGGAAGACCUUUCAAAAUUACAGUCUCUUAUAUGUGGUCCUUCAUUUGACAUAGCUUCCAUCGUUCCAUUCUUGGAGCCACUCUCAGAAGAUACUGUUGCUGGCCUCAGCGUCCAUGUUCUGUGUCAUACGCGUUUGAAAGAGUAUGAGCAGUGCAUAGACAGGCUGUUAGAGAGAUGCCCUGAGGCAGUCAUCCCAUAUGCUAAUCACGAGCUGAAAGAAGAGAAUCGGAUAGACUUUGUGGUGGAAAAAAUUGCUGCCUGAACUUUGUCAGAGAAUAAAAUGUGGUGGAGAGAAAUAUCAACUUUAUUUAUCAUCACUAAAAGAAACACUGUCAGUUGUUGCUGUGGAACUAGAACUAAGGGAUUUCUUAAACGUCCUCCCAGAAGAUGGCACUGCAGCGUUUUUCUUGCCGUAUCUUCUUUACUGCAGUCGAAAGAAAUCAUUGACUUGAAAGUAUCAUUUGAAAGGUGCCACAAUGGCACAUGGCACUGAAUCUUGAACAGCUGAAUGCCAUAUAAAAUAUAUAUAUAAAGGAUUUUUAUAUUGAAUAUGUACAUACACUGCAAAUGUUUUCAGUCUGCUUGCAAAGUCGCUUCAGUCGUGUCUGACUCUGUGCGACCCCAUAGACGGCAGCCCACCAGGCUCCACUGUCCCUGGGAUUCUCCAGGCAAGAACACUGGAGUGGGUUGCCAAUUCCUUCUCCUUCAGUCUACUUACCUCAGUGUUAUUACUAAUUUCAUAAUUUAUGACCUGAGUCCAUUUAAUUGUCCAGAAUGUUAAAAAGCUACAAGACAUUGGAAUUCCCUCAAAGAAAGCACAUAUUUUGAAAGAUAGAGGCUGACUUUUAUACCAAGAAACAUCAGUUUACUGUUGUUGGAGCCACGACAGUCUUUUUCAUCCCAGGAACAUAAAACAGUUUGUAAGUGUGUUCAGAAGAAUGUCCUCCCAAGUAGUCCAGAUUUUUCCAGAUUUUUCUACUGUGUCACUUUUAAAAACAGUAAUUUUCCUUGAGAAAGAUUUUAUUGUUUUCCCACAGUAAAAGAUAUCAAAGUUUAUUUUCUUGUUACUUUCAAAGCUCAUGCUGAGUUUCUCUGAAUCAAAUGAAAUAAAAGUUUACAAAGCUGACUUUCUUCUUGUCUGGCUACUUACAUAAUUUGUUGAAUGCAUGUCUUUCAGUCAAAGUUUUGUUUCCAUUUUUUGUUGAUGUGUACUCUUGCUCUUUUAGCUAGAGUGUAUGUGAAAAAUAAAGAAAUAUAAAGACCUGUGUCUUCUUUUUUUAGCCUCUUAUUAGACAAUUCUGAGUCCAAGUUCAGCUCACUGAUUGUGUGCUUGACCUUAGUUAAGACUGGGCAAAAAUGCUACUCACUUGGUGUUUCCACAACCAUAUUAUAAAAACUUUUCUCAUGAUGGCAGUGUUUGUUUUUAUCAGAAUUUAAUUUAUAGAUUAUUUCUCAACUCUGUCUUUUUCCAGUUCCAGAUUAACAUCCUUUUGACUUCAAGGGUUCACAAAAUUCAGAUAGGGAACAUUUUAUUUUUAAAUGUUUAAAUAAAUAUUUUAUUUUUAAGAUAUUUUAAAUCUUUUAAAACUAAAAUAUUUUAUUAAAAAAAUGUUUAAAAAAAAUAAAAAUUUUAACAGCUU